rnacentral:pre_miRNA from 3 species
CAGUUAUCACUGUGCUGAUGCUGUCUAUACUAAAGGUACAGUACUGUGAUAACUGAA